rnacentral:tRNA from 1 species
GGAAGGGUGCCGGAGUGGUCUAACGGAACGGCCUGGAGAGCCGUGCCUGUUUUAACAGGCUCGUGGGUUCAAAUCCCACCCCUUCCG